rnacentral:tRNA from 1 species
UCCUGGUUAGCUCAGUUGGUACAGCGCUCCACUGGAAACGCGAGAGGUCCGUGGUUCGAUACCAGGACCAGGUG